GUGAGCGAUGCGCUAACGGCAGCGCGCCAGUCUUCCAAACUGGAUACAGCGGGUUCGAUUCCCGUCGCUCACU
rnacentral:tRNA from 1 species